rnacentral:rRNA from 1 species
UACGAGUGCCCCGAGCGUUAUCCGGAAUUAUUGGGCGUAAAGGGUGCGUAGGUGGUUGUGUUAGUCGUGUGUCAAAGCCAGGGGCUUAACCUCUGGACCGCAAACGAAACGGCACAACUAGAGGGUAUGAGAGGCGUACGGAACUCAUGGUGUAGGGGUGAAAUCCGUUGAUAUCAUGGGGAACACCAAAGGCGAAGGCAGUACGCUGGCAUAUUUCUGACACUGAGGCACGAAAGCGUGGGUAGCGAAUGGG